GAUGAACGCUAGCGGGAGGCUUAACACAUGCAAGUCGAGGGGUAUUGUAGCAAUACAUUAGACCGGCGCACGGGUGAGUAACGCGUAUGCAACCUGCCGUUAACCGGGGGAUAGCCCGUCGAAAGGCGGAUUAAUACCCCAUAAUAUUGGGAUUCUGCAUGGGAUUUCAAUUAAAGCUGAGGUGGUUAACGAUGGGCAUGCGUGACAUUAGCUAGUUGGUAGGGUAACGGCCUACCAAGGCUACGAUGUCUAGGGGUUCUGAGAGGAAGGUCCCCCACACUGGUACUGGGACACGGACCAGACUCCUACGGGAGGCAGCAGUGAGGAAUAUUGGUCAAUGGGCGAGAGCUUGAACCAGCCAUCCCGCGUGCAGGAAGACGGCCCUAUGGGUUGUAAACUGCUUUUGCGCAUGAAGAAUGUUACCGACGUGUCGGUAAGUGACGGUAAUGCGUGAAUAAGCAUCGGCUAACUCCGUGCCAGCCGCCGCAGUAACAC
rnacentral:rRNA from 1 species